GUGGGGAAUUUUGGACAAUGGGCGCAAGCCUGAUCCAGCCAUUCCGCGUGCAGGAUGAAGGCCUUCGGGUUGUAAACUGCUUUUGUACGGAACGAAAAGCCUCUGGUUAAUACCCGGGGGUCAUGACGGUACCGUAAGAAUAAGCACCGGCUAACUACGUGCCAGCAGCCGCGGUAAUACGUAGGGUGCGAGCGUUAAUCGGAAUUACUGGGCGUAAAGCGUGCGCAGGCGGUGAUGUAAGACAGUUGUGAAAUCCCCGGGCUCAACCUGGGAACUGCAUCUGUGACUGCAUUGCUGGAGUGCGGCAGAGGGGGAUGGAAUUCCGCGUGUAGCAGUGAAAUGCGUAGAUAUGCGGAGGAACACCGAUGGCGAAGGCAAUCCCCUGGGCCUGCACUGACGCUCAUGCACGAAAGCGUGGGGAGUAAACAGGAUUAGAUACCCUUGUAGUCC
rnacentral:rRNA from 1 species